rnacentral:rRNA from 1 species
GAUGAACGCUGGCGGCGUGCCUAAUACAUGCAAGUCGAGCGAACAGACGAGGAGCUUGCUCCUCUGACGUUAGCGGCGGACGGGUGAGUAACACGUGGAUAACCUACCUAUAAGACUGGGAUAACUUCGGGAAACCGGAGCUAAUACCGGAUAAUAUAUUGAACCGCAUGGUUCAAUAGUGAAAGACGGUUUUGCUGUCACUUAUAGAUGGAUCCGCGCUGCAUUAGCUAGUUGGUAAGGUAACGGCUUACCAAGGCAACGAUGCGUAGCCGACCUGAGAGGGUGAUCGGCCACACUGGAACUGAGACACGGUCCAGACUCCUACGGGAGGCAGCAGUAGGGAAUCGUCCGCAAUGGGCGAAAGCAUGACGGAGCAACGCCGCGUGAGUGAUGAAGGUCUUCGGAGCGUAAAACUCUGUUAUUAGGGAAGAACAAAUGUGUAAGUAACUGUGCACGUCUUGACGGUACCUAAUCAGAAAGCCACGGCUAACUACGUG